GUUAAUGUAGCUUAAUAUCAAAGCAAGACACUGAAAAUGUCUAGACGGGUAUCAUAACCCCAUAAACA
rnacentral:tRNA from 1 species